UACAGAGGCCUCGAGCGUUAGGCGGAAUCACUGGGCUUAAAGCGUGUGUAGGUGGAUGCCUAAGUACCUUGUGAAAUCCCACGGCUUAACCGUGGAACUGCUUGGUAUACUGGGUGUCUUGAGCCACUCAGGGGCUACCGGAACAAAUGGUGAAGCGGUGAAAUGCGUAGAUAUCAUUUGGAACGCCAAUGGUGAAAACAGGUAGCUGGGGGUGUGCUGACACUGAGACACGAAAGCCAGGGGAGCAAACGGG
rnacentral:rRNA from 1 species